rnacentral:rRNA from 1 species
AGUGAACGCUGGCGGUAGGCCUAACACAUGCAAGUCGAACGGCAGCACAGUAAGAGCUUGCCCUUACGGGUGGCGAGUGGCGGACGGGUGAGGAAUACAUCUGAAUCUACUUUUUCGUGGGUGAUAACGUAGGGAAACUUACGCUAAUACCGCAUACGACCUACGGGUGAAAGCAGGGGAUCUUCGGACCUUGCGCGAUUGAAUGAGCCGAUGUCGGAUUAGCUAGUUGGCGGGGUAAAGGCCCACCAAGGCGACGAUCCGUAGCUGGUCUGAGAGGAUGAUCAGCCACACUGGAACUGAGACACGGUCCAGACUCCUACGGGAGGCAGCAGUGGGGAAUAUUGGGCAAUGGGCGCAAGCCUGAUCCAGCCAUACCGCGUGGGUGAAGAAGGCCUUCGGGUUGUAAAGCCCUUUUGUUGGGAAAGAAAAGCAGCAGGUUAAUACCCCGCUGUUCUGACGGUACCCAAAGAAUAAGCACCGGCUAACUUCGUG